CUAGAGAGGAAAGUGGCGGACGGGUGAGUAAUAUGUAGAGAAUCUGCCCUUGAGAGGGGGACAACAGCUGGAAACGGUUGCUAAUACCCCAUAUGAGCGUACCUGAGAUGGUAUUCUUGAAAACUCUGGUGCUCAAGGAUGAGUCUGCAUCUGAUUAGCUAGUUGGCGGGGUAAUGGCCCACCAAGGCGACGAUCAGUAGCUGGUUUGAGAGGAUGAUCAGCCACAAUGGGACUGAGACACGGCCCAUACUCC
rnacentral:rRNA from 1 species